UCUCUUCUUCUCUUCCUCUCUGUGAUUCACUCGGUAUGUUUUCUCUAUCAAAGUAAUUGUCAAUCAGGUUUUUCUUACUCUUCUUCUUCUUCUUCAAAGAGAUCCAUCACAAAUGAAAUUCUUUAAUCUAUAGUUUUGAGAUUUCUCUCAUCCAAAUCAGUAUGAAUAAAUCUAAGGUUCUCAUAUAGAUUUCUCUACUUCGCGAGGUUUCUAGGGUUUCGGAUUUGACAGAUCGUGAAGAGGAACAACGCUUUCCUCGUCAAAGAGUUUGGAAAUAGAAAUCAGAUGGUUCAGUUCUACAACGUUAGCACCUUCAUACACUGGGUUAGCGAAUGCAAAGACUAUUUCUGGCAUACAAUCGCGAUCUUUUCCACUUUCUGUAUAUACAUCUGAUUAUGGUCCCAUCAAUGACUUCUCUCAAGAAGCACCAUGAUAAGUCAGCAUUUUCUGGUAAAGCUGUCCUUUAUCUUAAUCGGCAUCAAACUGAGGAGUGGAAAUGAUGGAUUUUAUUCCAUAUCUAUUUACUGUGUAGAAGGCCUCGUUUAUUGACAUGCCUAGGAAUGGGUAAAUGUUGCACUCAUCAUGUAUCUGUAGCAUCCUCGGAAAAGGAUUUGGGGCUUUCUCCUAUUACUACAUUCAAAAGGAUUUUAGUCUUGGAAGAUUUGCUCAGAUGAUGUGGCGUCUUAAUUUCUUUGUGUCAUUUUGCUACAUUGUUCUUAAUUUCCUCGUGUUUACUUGCAUAUCUUUUGCGACUCUGUUGUUCUCGGGGAAACCACUCGCAGGGGUUUCUAUGUCUAUGACAAUAAGCGCAAGGCAAGGCCUGAUCCUGAAAUUGCAAAAUACAUUGAGAAAGCAAGGAGCAUGUCCGAUGCAAAAGUUUAUCCCAAGUUAAUGAAGUUAUCAUACAAGGACAUUAUCGAGAUGAUAUUUUCCCCAGUCGUGGAUGGGGCAUGCCGUGUCUGAUGCAAAAGUUGAUCCAAGUUAUCAGAUAAGGACAUCAUCGAGAUGAUAUUUUUUCCAGUCGUGAAUGAUUCAUGUCGUCUCCUGUAUGAAGGAAUUGUAGUUAAGGCAUCAGACCUUGACAUUGCCGCCGUUUCGGGGAUGGGAUUCCCAUCAUACAGGGGAGGAAUCGUGUUCUGGGCUGACUCUCUCGGAUCCAAAUACAUUUGUUCGAGGUUAGAGGAAUGGACCAAGAUGUAUGGAGAUUUCUUUAAGCCAUCUGCCUACUUGGUUGAACGAGCUUCCAAAGGAGAUAAACUAAGUGCAUCAAUGAUGGAUCAAGCUAUGUCUCGGCUAUAAGAAGGUUAAGCGAUUAUCUUCUUGGUAUUGCUGUAUUAUCCCUGUUGUUGUAGAAAGUUCAGAAAAAGAAAAAGAACUGAUAGUAAAAGUUGCACUGAAGAUGAAAGUUAGUUUUAGUAAGAACUAUUAAGGUUGUAGAACUGGAAUAAUAAUACCCUGUAACCAUCCUUUUAUAUUUCUCAUAGGUCCGUGACUUAUUCAAAAUUUAUGAUUAAACAUGUAUCCUCUUUAACUUAUCUUCAAUUACUGGUAUUUUCCAUGUCAGGAUACAAGGAUGCAGACCCAGUAAAAGAAAAUCUCUCGUUAUUGUAUUUCAGAUCAGGUCUCGAUCGUUAUAUCUGGAUAAUUGAAUGAUAUAUGCAUAUUAUCACCCAAAGUUAACAGUGUCUUGUUGGUGGCUUGAAGUUUGCAGAGGAUCAGUUGUCCGGGCAUUGGGGUUUAUGGUCGCUGCAUCAUCGUGUACGUUAGCAGUAGCUCGUCUGGCUUGUGAAGUUGCAGUCCAUGCUUCUGCAAGUAGGGUAUUGAUCUUAUCUAUGGUUUUUAUUUCGGUUUGAAACAGAGUUUUAUUACUAUUUAUUUGUAGUUUGUCUAUAAGAAUGUAUAGUUUUCAGUUUUUUACAGUGUUGUGUAAUUUUUUUCACAUCUGGA